UGUAAAUUAAGAAGUCAUAAUAGUGUCGGUGACAAUAUCAAGAUGCAAGUGUCAGCACAAGGUGCUUGCUAAGGCUAGGGAUGGCAUGAGUUCAGGAAAGGCGAGCCUGGACAUGCAGACCAACAGGAAGGGGGGGAGAAAAGGAGAGGCCAGCACAGGAGCACAAAAGCAGAAAGAAAUCCAUGAACUCCAAAGAAAGCCAGGCGUGCACCCAAGAAGCCACACAGGAGACGAAAAGACAGAAGUGAAAGUCAGGCACGGCGGUGCAUGCCUGUAACACAGGACUCCAGAGGUAGACGUGGGACCAGGAGUUCAAGGCCAGCGACGGCUCCACAGGAAAGAAAUUCUAUGGUUACCAACAAAACUUAUGAAGACUAGAUCUGACCAGGAAAACCCUCCUAUCAGAUGAGACAUAAACGUCUUCACAAAGCAAGAAUUCUUCAGCCCAAUUCAGCAUGAAGCAAUUAUAAGAAGACUAUCAUCCGUAUCAUUUUAAGUUGGGAUAGAUGGUUUUGGCUGUUUAUGUGUUGGGGUUGUUUAUCAUCUAGGGUGGUAGGUUUAAAUUAUUGUAUAUUGGUAGAAAUUUAAAGUUGUUUUAUUUUAUUGUAUACCACUAAAAAUUUAAGUUGUUUUGUUCCUAUUGUAUAUUGAUAAAAAUUUAAGGUUGUUUUAUUUAAAUUAUUGUACACUGAUAGGAAUUUAAGCUUGUUUUGUUUAAAUUAUUUUAUAUUAAUAAAAACU